CAACCAUCAAGCACAGCUUGGCAAUGGCCGUCGCCGGCAGCCCCUCUCCGGGCGCCGGCGUGUGCCCAAAACCGUCGGCAGAGUCACGCGGACCCGCCGGGCGUAGCAGAAAAGGAAGGGCCCUCAGGCUCGACCCCUCACGUCCAACGCGACCGCGCCCCGCGCCGUAAAACCAAUGGCCCGCGAGGGUCGCACCCACAA
rnacentral:misc_RNA from 1 species